GAUGAACGCUGGCGGCGUGCCUAAUACAUGCAAGUCGAGCGAACAGACGAGGAGCUUGCUCCUCUGACGUUAGCGGCGGACGGGUGAGUAACACGUGGAUAACCUACCUAUAAGACUGGGAUAACUCGGGAAACCGGAGCUAAUACCGGAUAAUAUAUUGAACCGCAUGGUUCAAUAGUGAAAGACGGUUUUGCUGUCACUUAUAGAUGGAUCCGCGCCGCAUUAGCUAGUUGGUAAGGUAACGGCUUACCAAGGCAACGAUGCGUAGCCGACCUGAGAGGGUGAUCGGCCACACUGGAACUGAGACACGGUCCAGACUCCUACGGUAGGCAGCAGUAGGGAAUCUUCCGCAAUGGGCGAAAGCCUGACGGAGCAACGCCGCGUGAGUGAUGAAGGUCUUCGGAUCGUAAAACUCUGUUAUUAGGGAAGAACAAAUGUGUAAGUAACUAUGCACGUCUUGACGGUACCUAAUCAGAAAGCCACGGCUAACUACGUG
rnacentral:rRNA from 1 species